GGACUAACGUAGAGCUUAUACAUGCAAGUCGAACGCUUCUUUUUCCACCGGAGCUUGCUCCACCGGAAAAAGAGGAGUGGCGAACGGGUGAGUAACACGUGGGUAACCUGCCCAUCAGAAGGGGAUAACACUUGGAAACAGGUGCUAAUACCGUAUAACAAUCGAAACCGCAUGGUUUUGAUUUGAAAGGCGCUUUCGGGUGUCGCUGAUGGAUGGACCCGCGGUGCAUUAGCUAGUUGGUGAGGUAACGGCUCACCAAGGCGACGAUGCAUAGCCGACCUGAGAGGGUGAUCGGCCACAUUGGGACUGAGACACGGCCCAAACUCCUACGGGAGGCAGCAGUAGGGAAUCUUCGGCAAUGGACGAAAGUCUGACCGAGCAACGCCGCGUGAGUGAAGAAGGUUUUCGGAUCGUAAAACUCUGUUGUUAGAGAAGAACAAGGAUGAGAGUAACUGUUCAUCCCUUGACGGUAUCUAACCAGAAAGCCACGGCUAACUACGUGCCAGCAGCCGCGGUAAUACGUAGGUGGCAAGCGUUGUCCGGAUUUAUUGGGCGUAAAGCGAGCGCAGGCGGUUUCUUAAGUCUGAUGUGAAAGCCCCCGGCUCAACCGGGGAGGGUCAUUGGAAACUGGGAGACUUGAGUGCAGAAGAGGAGAGUGGAAUUCCAUGUGUAGCGGUGAAAUGCGUAGAUAUAUGGAGGAACACCAGUGGCGAAGGCGGCUCUCUGGUCUGUAACUGACGCUGAGGCUCGAAAGCGUGGGGAGCAAACAGGAUUAGAUACCCUGGUAGUCCACGCCGUAAACGAUGAGUGCUAAGUGUUGGAGGGUUUCCGCCCUUCAGUGCUGCAGCUAACGCAUUAAGCACUCCGCCUGGGGAGUACGACCGCAAGGUUGAAACUCAAAGGAAUUGACGGGGGCCCGCACAAGCGGUGGAGCAUGUGGUUUAAUUCGAAGCAACGCGAAGAACCUUACCAGGUCUUGACAUCCUUUGACCACUCUAGAGAUAGAGCUUCCCCUUCGGGGGCAAAGUGACAGGUGGUGCAUGGUUGUCGUCAGCUCGUGUCGUGAGAUGUUGGGUUAAGUCCCGCAACGAGCGCAACCCUUAUUGUUAGUUGCCAUCAUUUAGUUGGGCACUCUAGCAAGACUGCCGGUGACAAACCGGAGGAAGGUGGGGAUGACGUCAAAUCAUCAUGCCCCUUAUGACCUGGGCUACACACGUGCUACAAUGGGAAGUACAACGAGUCGCAAAGUCGCGAGGCUAAGCUAAUCUCUUAAAGCUUCUCUCAGUUCGGAUUGUAGGCUGCAACUCGCCUACAUGAAGCCGGAAUCGCUAGUAAUCGCGGAUCAGCACGCCGCGGUGAAUACGUUCCCGGGCCUUGUACACACCGCCCGUCACACCACGAGAGUUUGUAACACCCGAAGUCGGUGAGGUAACCUUUGGAGCCAGCCGCCUAUGGGGUAUUCCU
rnacentral:rRNA from 1 species